GUCUUUUUCUUUUUCUUUUUUCUUGUGGUCUGUGUAGCUGGGGCUGGACAAGCUAGGGGUUAGAGUGGGGAGAGGGAGAGAUAGAGCGGUGGGUGUGUGGGAUUGGGAUUGGGCUGGCGCGGCGGCGAGGGUUGGACGCGCGGAGGCGGGGUUUGGUGGGCGGUCAGGGAGCGCGGUGGUGUAGAGCCUGGGGCCGGAGGGAAGGGAAUCAGGCGUCAUCGUCGUUGCGGCAGACGCUGCCUCCUCGUGGCAGGCGGCGGCUCCUUGUCGUCGCGGCAGGCGGUGGUUCCUAGGUGGCGCGCGGCCCUUGUCGUCGUGGUAUGCAGCCUCCUAAGCGGCGUGGCUUACGAUAACUCCUCGUCGGACGGCAAGAAGAAGGAGGUGGCCGCUGGGGACAGAGCCGGGGCGGAGGUCUAGACUUGUUCUCGAACAAUAACGAAGGUAUAUAUGACCAAAGCAAGUCGACCAGUUCAACGACAACGAGGGAGGCGAUACGUCUUGUCAUGGGGACCUCUACGCACCUCAUCCGAUCAGGAGACUGGUAUUGUUAACCGACGAUGACUGCUGUGCUCCUCUCCUCGACGUGUUCUGUCUUUUUCGUGUUUACCGGUUCAUGUGAACUGCCUUCUAACUGCUUUGUCUCUCCUUCUCUCGUGUCCUUGUAAUAGAGUCGACAGCAACUAAAGUCUUGUUUAGCAACCGUAACAUGGAAGUUCCCUCAUAGGAAAACGGAUGACUCGUGUGUUUUGUUUACGCAGAUAUAUAAAUAAAUUCCCUUUGUUGUACGAGGGUAAAAACCAGUUAGCUACCUAGACUGAUUAUGUAUUGAUAUAUAUAUAUAUAUAUAUACACACACACACUCCAUAAUAAGUACACAGUAAAAAACAUUAAGCUCAUUCGACUUUGACUACCAGAGUCUACCAAACACAUAAUUGAAACUAGUCUUGAACGUAGAUGUUUAUGACUCAUCACCCAACGGAAAACACGUCCUUAAACGUCGUCCUAGGGAACGAACACGAGAGGCGGACAGGAGUGAGGAAUCUGGAAGGGAAACGAACAGUGGUAUGUAAAAUAAAUCUCACCACAGUUCUACGUAGAGGAGACGGUUCUACUACCCGUCUCCCGGAUUCGAGAUCCCAGUUUACCGCCCUUCAUAGUUCAGCUUCUAUAAUACCGAAAACAUGUAGAAGAUAAAAGAAAUUUACUUUCAACUACAGCCAAACCACUAGCUUCUGAAUCCGAGAAGGUAUCACAAAACAUCUCACUAACUUGUGAAUUCAGAGAAUACUUGAUCCGGGUAUAAUACAUUGUACGGUGUUGAACAUACAACUGAACUCAUAAAAAAGUUACCAACAUCGUUCCUUUUGAUUACCCAGAAGAUAUAUACAACUUAUUUACGCAACCAGUUACCGUAAAACACUACUUAUCUUCUCACAUUAACAACCAUAUAGAUAACGUUUCACUUG
rnacentral:rRNA from 1 species